UACGCAGGGUGCAAACGUUGCUCGGAAUUAUUGGGCGUAAAGAGCUCGUAGGCGGCCUGUUGCGUCGGUUGUGAAAGCCCGGGGCUUAACCCCGGGUCUGCAGUCGAUACGGGCAGGCUAGAGUUCGGUAGGGGAGAUCGGAAUUCCUGGUGUAGCGGUGAAAUGCGCAGAUAUCAGGAGGAACACCGGUGGCGAAGGCGGAUCUCUGGGCCGAUACUGACGCUGAGGAGCGAAAGCGUGGGGAGCGAACAGG
rnacentral:rRNA from 1 species